rnacentral:rRNA from 1 species
ACGCGGUGAAUACGUUCCCGGGCCUUGUACACACCGCCCGUCAAGCCAUGGAAGUUGGGGUACCUAAAGUAUGUAACCGCAAGGAGCGUCCUAAGGGUAAACCGAUAACUGGGGCU